rnacentral:rRNA from 1 species
GAUUACCUGGUUGAUCCUGCCAGUAGUCAUAUGCUUGUCUACAAAGACUAAGCCAUGCAUGUGUUAGUAUGAACUGAAUUUAUAUAGUGAAACUGCGAAUGGCUCAUUACAUCAGUUAUAGUUUAUUUGAUAGAUACGCGUUCAGCACUACAUGGAUACCUGUAGUAACAUAGAGCUAAUACAUGCAUAAGAAUCUGACUUUACAGAAGGAUUUGCACUUAUUAGAUACCAAACCAAUAUCCUCUCGGGGAUUUAUUAGGUGAAUCACAAUAACUGAACAAAUCGCAUAGUCUUGCACUGGCGAUGUAUCAAUCAAGUUUCUGCCCUAUCAACUUGAUGUUAGUGUAUUGUACUAACAUGGUUUUUACGGGUAACAGAGGAUUAGGGUUCGAUCCUGGAGAAGGAGCAUGAGAAAUGGCUACUAUUUCUAAGGAAAGCAGCAGGCGC